GACCUGGUGGCCAAGUGGUAAGGCGGUUCUCUGCAAAAGAACUAUACGCGAGUUCGAUUCUCGCCCAGGUCU
rnacentral:tRNA from 1 species